rnacentral:rRNA from 1 species
GUCCGCAACGAGCGCAACCCUUGUCUUUAGUUACCAUCAGGUUAUGCUGGGGACUCUAGAGAGACUGCCGGUGACAAACCGGAGGAAGGUGGGGACGACGUCAAGUCAUCAUGGCCCUUACGCCCAGGGCUACACACGUGCUACAAUGGUCGGUACAAAGGGCAGCAAUACAGCGAUGUGGAGCGAAUCCCAAAAAGCCGGCCUCAGUUCGGAUCGUAGUCUGCAACUCGACUACGUGAAGUUGGAAUCGCUAGUAAUCGCGUAUCAGAACGACGCGGUGAAUACGUCCCGGGCCUUGUACACACCGCCCGUCAAGUCAC